rnacentral:rRNA from 1 species
CAAUAGCGUAUAUUUAAGUUGCUGCAGUUAAAAAGCUCGUAGUUGGAUUUCGGGUGGGAAUGGCCGGUCCGCCGUUUCGGUGUGCACUUGCUACGCCCACCUUGCUGCCGGGGACGUGCUCUUGAGUUCACGCUCGGGACACGGAGUCGGCGAGGUUACUUUGAGUAAAUUAGAGUGUUCAAAGCAGGCCUACGCUCUGAAUACAUUAGCAUGGAAUAACACGAUAGGACUCUGGCCUAUCUUGUUGGUCUGUAGGACCGGAGUAAUGAUUAAGAGGGACAGUCGGGGGCAUUCGUAUUUCAUUGUCAGAGGUGAAAUUCUUGAUUUAUGAAAGACGAACUACUGCGAAAGCAUUUGCCAAGGAUGUUUUCAUUAA